rnacentral:rRNA from 1 species
UACGAAGGGGGCUAGCGUUGUUCGGAUUUACUGGGCGUAAAGCGCACGUAGGCGGAUCGGUAAGUCGGGGGUGAAAUCCUGGAGCUCAACUCCAGAACUGCCUUCGAUACUGGCGAUCUUGAGUGCGGAAGAGGUGAGUGGAACUCCUAGUGUAGAGGUGAAAUUCGUAGAUAUUAGGAAGAACACCAGUGGCGAAGGCGGCUCACUGGUCCGGUACUGACGCUGAGGUGCGAAAGCGUGGGGAGCAAACAGG